UACGUAGGGGGCAAGCGUUGUCCGGAUUUAUUGGGCGUAAAGAGCGUGUAGGCGGUUUGGUAGGUCCGUUGUGAAAACUCGAGGCUCAACCUCGAGACGCCGAUGGAAACCAUCAGACUAGAGUCCGGAAGAGGAGAGUGGAAUUCCUGGUGUAGCGGUGAAAUGCGCAGAUAUCAGGAGGAACACCAGUGGCGAAGGCGGCUUCCUGGCCUGUAACUGACGCUGAGACGCGAAAGCGUGGGGAGCGAACCGG
rnacentral:rRNA from 1 species